rnacentral:rRNA from 1 species
GAUUCAUAAUAACUUAACGAAUCGCAUGGCCUUGCGCCGGCGAUGGUCAUUCAAAUUUCUGCCCUAUCACCUUUCGAUUGUUGGGUCUUGGCCAACAAUGGGUUCUACGGGUAACGGGGAAUUAGGGUUCGAUUCCGGAGAGGGAGCCUGAGAAACGGCUACCACAUCCAAGGAAGGCAGCAGGCGCGCAAAUUACCCAAUCCCGACACGGGGAGGUAGUGACAAUAAAUACUGAUGCAGGGCCCCUUCGGGUCUUGCAAUUGGAAUGAGUACAAUCUAAACCCCUUAACGAGGAACAAUUGGGGGGCAAGUCUGGUGCCAGCAGCCGCGGUAAUUCCAGCUCCAAUAGCGUAUAUUAAAGUUGUUGCAGUUAAAAAGCUCGUAGUUGAAACUUGGGUCUGGCUGACCGGUCCGCCUCACCGCGUGCACUGGCUCGGCCGGGCCUUUCCUUCUGGGGAGCCUCAUGCCCUUCACUGGGUGUGAUGGGGAACCAGGACUUUUACUUUGAAAAAAUUAGAGUGUUCAAAGCAGGCCUAUGCUCGAAUACGUUAGCAUGGAAUAAUAGAAUAGGACGUGUGGUUCUAUUUUGUUGGUUUCUAGGACCGCCGUAAUGAUUAAUAGGGAUAGUCGGGGGCAUCAGUAUUUAACAGCAAGAGGUGAAAUUCUUGGAUUUGUUAAAGACUAACUACUGCGAAAGCAUUUGCCAAGGAUGUUUUCAUUAAUCAGUGAACGAAAGUUAGGGGAUCGAAGACGAUCAGAUACCGUCGUAGUCUUAACCAUAAACUAUGCCGACUAGGGAUCGGACGGUGUUAUCAUUUUGACCCGUUCGGCACCUUACGAGAAAUCAAAGUCUUUGGGUUCUGGGAGGAGUAUGGUCGCAAGGCUGAAACUUAAAGAUAUUGACGGAAGGGCACCACCAGGCGUGGAGCCUGCGGCUUAAUUUGACUCAACACGGGGAAACUCACCAGGUCCAGACACAAAUAGGAUUGACAGAUUGAGAGCUCUUUCUUGAUUUUGUGGGUGGUGGUGCAUGGCCGUUCUUAGUUGGUGGAGUGAUUUGUCUGCUUAAUU